AAAAAAGGUAAGCUACUAAGAGCGAAUGGUGGAUGCCUUGACUGGUAAAGGCGAUGAAGGACGUACUAGACUGCGAUAAGCUACGGGGAGCUGUCAAGAAGCUUUGAUCCGUAGAUUUCCGAAUGGGGCAACCCAAUGUAUAGAGAUAUACAUUACCUAUAUAGGAGCGAACGAGGGGAAUUGAAACAUCUUAGUACCCUCAGGAAAAGAAAUCAAUAGAGAUUGCGUCAGUAGCGGCGAGCGAAAGCGCAAGAGGGCAAACCCAGUGCUUGCACUGGGGGUUGUAGGACUGCAAUGUGCAAGAGGUGAGUUUAGCAGAACAUUCUGGAAAGUAUAACCAUAGAGGGUGAUAGUCCCGUAUGCGAAAAACAAACCUUAGCUAGCAGUAUCCUGAGUAGGGCGGGACACGAGGAAUCCUGUCUGAAUCCGGGUCGACCACGAUCCAACCCUAAAUACUAAUACCAGAUCGAUAGUGCACAAGUACCGUGAGGGAAAGGUGAAAAGAACUGAGGUGAUCAGAGUGAAAUAGAACCUGAAACCAUUUGCUUACAAUCAUUCAGAGCCCUAUGUAGCAAUACAGGGUGAUGGACUGCCUUUUGCAUAAUGAGCCUGCGAGUUGUGGUGUCUGGCAAGGUUAAGCAAACGCGAAGCCGUAGCGAAAGCGAGUCUGAAUAGGGCGCUUAGUCAGAUGCUGCAGACCCGAAACGAAGUGAUCUAUCCAUGAGCAAGUUGAAGCUAGUGUAAGAACUAGUGGAGGACUGAACCCAUAGGCGUUGAAAAGCCCCGGGAUGACUUGUGGAUAGGGGUGAAAGGCCAAUCAAACUUCGUGAUAGCUGGUUCUCUCCGAAAUAUAUUUAGGUAUAGCGUUGUGUCGUAAUAUAAGGGGGUAGAGCACUGAAUGGGCUAGGGCAUACACCAAUGUACCAAACCCUAUCAAACUCCGAAUACCUUAUAUGUAAUCACAGCAGUCAGGCGGCGAGUGAUAAAAUCCGUCGUCAAGAGGGAAACAACCCAGACUACCAGCUAAGGUCCCUAAAUCUUACUUAAGUGGAAAACGAUGUGAAGUUACUUAAACAACCAGGAGGUUGGCUUAGAAGCAGCCAUCCUUUAAAGAAAGCGUAAUAGCUCACUGGUCUAGUGAUUUUGCGCGGAAAAUAUAACGGGGCUAAAGUAAGUACCGAAGCUGUAGACUUAGUUUAC
rnacentral:rRNA from 1 species